rnacentral:tRNA from 1 species
GCAUCUGUAGUUCAGUGGUAGAACACCAGCUUCCCAAGCUGGCUAUGCGGGUUCGAUUCCCGUCAGAUGCUCCA